CGGACAGCCGCUUCAAACUGCUUCUGGCAAUCUGGCUCCUCUGCCUUCUUCCCCAUUGGUACCUGUUUUGGAAAGGGAAAAAAGGAUGAAAACUGCAGGCUCUGCUUAAGAAGAAAUACAGAUAUUAACUGACGUAAAAGAACUGGAUACUUGAGUUAAUCAGAAGCUCAUCAGCAUAUUUACAUCAUUGUUUCAUCAUGGGCUGUAUCCUCCAGGAAGGUGUCUCUGUAGUGGAUCCCAGCUGACAUUUCUCCUUCCAUGAGAAUCCACACUUAUAGGCUCUGAUGUCAAAGGAACCCCCAGCCAAUCCUUGAGUGGAUCCUUUCCAGCCAAUCAGGAGAGGAAGCAUAAAGUCCGAAUACCUAUCAGAACUGUACAAUGUCAUGCAUUUCCUUGUGUGUUAUGUUUGUACCUUUUGAAGCAAAUUGCUUGUACUUGCAUAUUUUUUAGAAGAAUUGUAAUAAACCUCUGUGGCUUUUCUUCAA